rnacentral:rRNA from 1 species
GCAAACGGUUGUUGGAGCAGGCCCGCCGGCGGCCCACCAAACUCUUUGUUUUUAUAACCUAUCUCUUCUGAGUACAUUAAAAAAAAAAAUGAAUCAAAACUUUCAACAACGGAUCUCUUGGUUCUGGCAUCGAUGAAGAACGCAGCGAAAUGCGAUAAGUAAUGUGAAUUGCAGAAUUCAGUGAAUCAUCGAAUCUUUGAACGCACAUUGCGCCCGCUGGAAUUCCAGCGGGCAUGCCUGUUCGAGCGUCAUUUCA